UGGCCGCCGGGGGGCUGGGGCUCGCGACUUGUGAGCGCCGCCCCCGGGCCCGUGCCCGCCGGAGACCUCCCUCGACAUGCUACUGUGGUCAGAAAUGCUGUCUGAGUGGGAAUGAUGUGAGAAAUUGAUCAGUCAAAACUUUCAACUAAUGGAUCUCUUGGUUCCGGCAUCGAUGAAGAACGCAGCGAAAUGCGAUAAGUAAUGCGAAUWGCAGAAUUCCGUGAGUCAUCGAAUCUUUGAACGCACAUUGCGCCCCCCGGCUUCCCGGGGGGCAUGCCUGUCCGAGCGUCAUUGCCAUCCCCUCAAGCUCCGCUUGGCUGGUUGGGCCGACGUCCACCCGUGGCUUUGUGCCGGGGGGGACGGGCCCGAAAGGCAGUGGCGGCUCCCGGAGGGUGGUCCCUUGGGGCGGUUGAUACAUGGGUUGUCAUCUUCCACCGCUCCGUUGGCCACGCUCCGGGGGUCCAGUCGUAACGAUUGGUCUUCCCCUUUAGGUUGACCUACGGAUCAGGUAGGGAUACCCGCUGAACUUAAGCAUAUCAAUAAGCGGAGG
rnacentral:sRNA from 1 species